AUGAUUCACUACUGUAAGUCUCUCUGGAUAAGAGAGUCUGCUAAAUUCUAAUUA
rfam:Salmo salar isolate Sally breed double haploid chromosome ssa10, whole genome shotgun sequence.